rnacentral:ncRNA from 1 species
UGCAUUUUUGAAGACGGCAGCUAGCGCUGCUCUUCAUACCUCCCUGUUGGACUUCGGCCGAGCUUAGUGCUCGGCCUUUUUU